AUGAGAGGAAUACAAAGAAUGUUAAGGAGGUUACUAUUGAGAGAGCCAACGUGGAUUAGAGAUUUAGGGUAGUUUAAUCAGAUUGCACAUGAGAUCUCGAGAGGAGCAGACCUUUCAGAAUUUGGUCUGAUUUUGGGAGUGAAUGAGGGGUGUUGGCCACGAAGGUAAAUGUUACAGCCACAGGCUAUAAGCAUGCAGUUGCUGGCAUAGACUUUCCCUAUACUAUGGGACCAGGCAAGAACCAGGCAGCACAGGCCGACGUGGUAGAAGCCUCAUCAGCCCUCGCCUCAUCUUGAAUCAUCGUUUGAACAUCUGAACUGGACAAGCUGGGCUCGUAGCCAUAAUCCUAGGCACCAUCAGUGAAUGGACAUGUGUUCGUAGUCGACACGCUCAGGCAACCUACUCGCGUCAAGUCGUUGAGUCAACGCCCGUUGCAGUCGUACACCGGUCAGGCUUUAUAGCAAGUCAUGCAUCAUCGCACCGGGUUACUACAUACACCAGAGUAUUUCGUUCUGCCUAUUCAGAAACAGGAAGAGGUGGUAUUUACGAACUCUAAAUCGGGACUCUUUAACCCACAGCAGUUUACUUUAUAUAUAUAAAGACCGGGCUAGAGUCGGUGGGUGAUUAAUUGUAUGUUUUACAAUCGAAGGAUGACCUGGUCAUCAGGUAAUCUAUUUUCCUUUGGAAAUGUGAAGUGAUAUAUUGUGAACAUAAUUGAGUACCGAUAAGACGACAUAAACAGUGAUAGGAUAUACUCCUAAGUUCAUAGUGAUUCUGAAUCAUUUUAUUUUUGUCAAUUAUUUGCAUGUUUAAUUAUAUUGAGCCGAUGGCUCUUAAAUAAACUGUUUGUACCCUAUA
rnacentral:lncRNA from 1 species